UAUAUUUAAAUAUAGUCUCCGCUGUGCUAGCUCAAUCGAACACCAACAAAGAGUGUGAAUUCAGGCAGAGAAAAGGAAAGAAAUCAUGGCAAGCUCUGAGUGCUGCUCAAACCCUCCGACCCUGAACCCCUCCAGCGGCACCGGCCAUGUCGAAAGCCUCGGCGGUCUCGACUCCUAUGUCACUGGCUCCCCUGAUUCCAACCUUGCUGUUCUUCUCAUCUCUGACAUUUACGGAUUUGAAGCUCCAAACUUGAGGAAGCUUGCUGACAAAGUUGCAGCUGCUGGGUUCUUCGUUGUGGUUCCCGACUUCCUUAACAAAGACCCUUAUGCACCUGAAGAUGCCAACAGACCUAUUUCCGUUUGGAUAAAAGAUCAUGGACCGGACAAGGGAUUUGAGGAUGCAAAGCCAGUUCUUGAAGCUUUAAAAAGUAAAGGUGUUUCUGCAAUCGGUGCUGCAGGCUUCUGUUGGGGAGCCAAGGUUGUGGUUGAACUUUCAAAGCACGCUUUAAUUCAAGCUGCUGUUCUGUGUCAUCCAUCAUUAGUCACUGUGGAUGAUAUCAAGGGUAAGAUACCUGUAGUAAUAUUCAGGAAAUAUCUAAUCCAUUAUUGGAACAAAAAAUUAGUCUCACACUCACUUUAUGAUCUAUUCCUGGACUUACUUUCAGAGGUUAAGGUUCCUAUUUCUGUACUUGGAGCUGAGAUUGAUCAGAUGUCUCCGCCUGAAGUCGUGAAACAGUUUGAAGAGGUUUUAACUGCAAAACCUGAGGUUAAGAGCCAUGUGAAAAUAUUCCCGAAAGUGUCACAUGGGUGGACGGUGAGGUACAGUGUUGAAGACGAAGCAGCUUGUAAGUCUGCCGAGGAGGCUCAUCAAGAUUUGUUGAAGUGGUUCUUGAACCAUGUCAAGUGAGUGGCCUCAUCAAGAUUUGUUGAAGUGGUUUUCCUUAUCAGCUGCUAUCUAUUAGUAAUGGAUAAAUAAUGCCUCUGGAGUUUUAUGUUCGUAUUUGUUUGUAAUGGAUAAAUAAUGCCUCUGGAGUUUUAUGUUCGUAUUUGUUUGUAAUGGAUAAAUAUUGCUUUUGGAGUACUUAGAUCUAACGGAGGACAUGAUACAAAACCGAGCGCAAUGGCGGUCUAGGAUUCAUAUAGCCGACCCCACUUAGUGGAAAAAGGCUUUGUUGUUGUUGUUGUUAUUUGUUUGUCAAGUUUUGUAAUAGAAUUUUACAGCUUAAUUUUCAUGUAUUCCAUAAUUCUGAAUACAAGUACAUACAAUUCUUAUUACAUAAGGAAACAAUAAAGGACACUAAUAUUACCUUCCUAAAA